rnacentral:rRNA from 1 species
AACGAACGCUGGCGGCAGGCUUAACACAUGCAAGUCGAACGCCCCGCAAGGGGAGUGGCAGACGGGUGAGUAACGCGUGGGAACCUACCCAGUUCUACGGAACAACUGAGGGAAACUUCAGCUAAUACCGUAUACGCCCUACGGGGAAAGAUUUAUCGGAAUUGGAUGGGCCCGCGUUGGAUUAGCUAGUUGGUGGGGUAAUGGCCUACCAAGGCGACGAUCCAUAGCUGGUCUGAGAGGAUGAUCAGCCACACUGGGACUGAGACACGGCCCAGACUCCUACGGGAGGCAGCAGUGGGGAAUAUUGGACAAUGGGCGCAAGCCUGAUCCAGCCAUGCCGCGUGAGUGAGUGAAGGCCUUAGGGUUGUAAA